rnacentral:rRNA from 1 species
CUUCGGUUCUAGCGGCGGACGGGUGAGUAACGCGUGGGAACGUGCCCUUUGCUACGGAAUAGUCCCGGGAAACUGGGUUUAAUACCGUAUGUGCCCCUUGGCCUUGGCGGUCUUGGGGGAAAGAUUUAUCGGCAAAGGAUCGGCCCGCGUUGGAUUAGGUAGUUGGUGGGGUAAUGGCUCACCAAGCCGACGAUCCAUAGCUGGUUUGAGAGGAUGAUCAGCCACACUGGGACUGAGACACGGCCCAGACUCCUACGGGAGGCAGCAGUGGGGAAUCUUAGACAAUGGGGGCAACCCUGAUCUAGCCAUGCCGCGUGAGUGAUGAAGGCCUUAGGGUUGUAAAGCUCUUUCAGCUGGGAAGAUAAUGACGGUACCAGCAGAAGAAGCCCCGGCUAACUCCGUGCCAGCAGCCGCGGUAAUACGGAGGGGGCUAGCGUUGUUCGGAAUUACUGGGCGUAAAGCGCACGUAGGCGGACUGGAAAGUCAGAGGUGAAAUCCCAGGGCUCAACCUUGGAACUGCCUUUGAAACUAUCGGUCUGGAGUUCGAGAGAGGUGAGUGGAAUUCCGAGUGGUAGAGGUGAAAUUCGUAGAUAUUCGGAGGAACACCAGUGGCGAAGGCGGCUCACUGGCUCGAUACUGACCGCUGAGGUGGCGAAAGCGUGGGGAGCAAACAGGAUUA